AUAAAAUUCAAUUACUUCAUCUUUUUAAAAAUUAGUUUUGCGAAAAUGUCCAAUUUUGGGAAAAUAAAAAGUGUAUAUUGCAAAGAUUUCGUGACAUACUCAGAAUGCAUCUUCACACCAUCAGAAUAUUUAAACGUUAUCAUUGGCCCCAAUGGCUCA